CGAUUGGGGAGGUUGUGCCCUUGAGGCGUGGCUUCCGGAGCUAACGCGUUAAAUCGACCGCCUGGGGAGUACGGCCGCAAGGUUAAAACUCAAAUGAAUUGACGGGGGCCCGCACAAGCGGUGGAGCAUGUGGUUUAAUUCGAUGCAACGCGAAGAACCUUACCUGGUCUUGACAUCCACAGAACUUUCCAGAGAUGGAUUGGUGCCUUCGGGAACUGUGAGACAGGUGCUGCAUGGCUGUCGUCAGCUCGUGUUGUGAAAUGUUGGGUUAAGUCCCGCAACGAGCGCAACCCUUAUCCUUUGUUGCCAGCGGUUAGGCCGGGAACUCAAAGGAGACUGCCAGUGAUAAACUGGAGGAAGGUGGGGAUGACGU
rnacentral:rRNA from 1 species